rnacentral:misc_RNA from 1 species
GAUGAAGACGCAGCGAAAUGCGAUAAGUAAUGUGAAUUGCAGAAUUCAGUGAAUCAUCGAAUCUUUGAACGCACAUUGCGCCCCCUGGUAUUCCGGGGGGCAUGCCUGUCCGAGCGUCAUUACAACCCUCAAGCUCUGCUUGGUGUUGGGCCCCGCCGCCCCGGCGGGCCCUAAAGUCAGUGGCGGUGCCAUCCGGCUCCGAGCGUAGUAAUUCUUCUCGCUCUGGAGGUCCGGUUGUGUGCUUGCCAUCAACCCCCAAUUUUUUUCAGGUUGACCUCGGAUCAGGUAGGGAUACCCGCUGAACUUAAGCAUAUCAAUAAGCGGAGGA